rnacentral:rRNA from 1 species
UACGUAGGGUGCAAGCGUUAAUCGGAAUUACUGGGCGUAAAGCGUGCGCAGGCGGUUUUGUAAGUCAGAUGUGAAAUCCCCGGGCUUAACCUGGGAACUGCGUUUGAAACUACAAGGCUAGAGUGUGACAGAGGGGGGUGGAAUCCACGUGUAGCAGUGAAAUGCGUAGAGAUGUGGAGGAACACCGAUGGCGAAGGCAGCCCCCUGGGUUAACACUGACGCUCAGGCACGAAAGCGUGGGGAGCAAACAGG